rnacentral:rRNA from 1 species
UACAGAGGGGGCAAGCGUUGUUCGGAAUUACUGGGCGUAAAGCGUGCGCAGGCGGUCUUGCAAGACAGGUGUGAAAUCCCCGGGCUCAACCUGGGAACUGCAUUUGUGACUGCAUCGCUGGAGUGCGGCAGAGGGGGAUGGAAUUCCGCGUGUAGCAGUGAAAUGCGUAGAUAUGCGGAGGAACACCGAUGGCGAAGGCAAUCCCCUGGGCCUGCACUGACGCUGAGGCGCGAAAGCUAGGGGAGCAAACGGG